rnacentral:misc_RNA from 1 species
UUUCACUUGUAGGUCCUCCUGCAAAAUAUAACACACCUCAGAAAUUAUUAUAUUUCUACUAGUAAAGCAAGUUAUUUAUUCAAUGGAAAGCACAAAGUAAAAGGCAGACCAUCACUUAACAAGUUCAGCAACUAGCAACUUGGUCCAACUGCUUCCAACUUCUGAGAAUUAUUCCACUGAAAUGUUCUCUCAUCUUAUCAACAUGAUAAUGGAUUUAUACAAGUUAUUAAUUACACAAUUCCUACUUCUCAAUGAUUUGUGAUUUAUUUGAACAAAAAAAAAAAAAAGG